GAUGAACGCUGGCGGCGUGCCUAAUACAUGCAAGUCGAGCGAACAGAUAAGGAGCUUGCUCCUUUGACGUUAGCGGCGGACGGGUGAGUAACACGUGGGUAACCUACCUAUAAGACUGGAAUAACUCCGGGAAACCGGGGCUAAUGCCGGAUAACAUUUAGAACCGCAUGGUUCUAAAGUGAAAGAUGGUUUUGCUAUCACUUAUAGAUGGACCCGCGCCGUAUUAGCUAGUUGGUAAGGUAACGGCUUACCAAGGCAACGAUACGUAGCCGACCUGAGAGGGUGAUCGGCCACACUGGAACUGAGACACGGUCCAGACUCCUACGGGAGGCAGCAGUAGGGAAUCUUCCGCAAUGGGCGAAAGCCUGACGGAGCAACGCCGCGUGAGUGAUGAAGGUCUCCGGAUCGUAAAACUCUGUUAUUAGGGAAGAACAAAUGUGUAAGUAACUGUGCACGUCUUGACGGUACCUAAUCAGAAAGCCACGGCUAACUACGUG
rnacentral:rRNA from 1 species